UGAGCUGUCCAAGCCGUGAGCGCUCUGGUCUGCACCGCGGCAGCCUCUCAACGCACCAGGGAGUGUCCGCCGCUGGGCAGCGGGCAGGAGGUCAGGAGAGGCGAGCAACAGAUAGGGCCUGAGCGAUGGGCCAGAGCUGGAAAGAAGCGGCCAUGGCGGGACUGUGGCUCUGAUGGAAUGCGAAGUGAAGGCAGACCGACCUCUGAAAGACGGCCCCGUCCAGGCUGUCCUGACGCUGACCCAGUGCCGAUCCAACAGCUUUCACAAUGAGGAAGUCCUUUGUGCCAGCUAACCUGUAACACUCUUGCUGUUACGGAAAGCUACUCGCUUAGUUCGGCCUUAUGGUGAAAAAACCGUCUUUUUGAUGGAUUUUUCACACUUGAAGUCCUUCAUCCAGGCUACAUCUAGCUGCCUCUUCUCCGGAGAGGUAUGAAAGCCAGCAGGAAGGUCGAGGCUUCGGAACCGCCCCGUCACGCCAUCACUCACAGCCCUGCUGCCGAGCCGCUGUGAGACCCGGCCCACACUCCUGAUUCUGCAGCUUCACACACAAAUGGAGGCAGUGCGGCUAUGUCACAGGGUACGUGUGAGGAACCAAGGUCACAGCGAAGAGCGGUGUUGGCCAAGCAGCCUGAUGUGUCAUGUAGGAGGCAGAUGCCUGGCAUAUAAGAAGCACGGCCAAAGGACUGAGGAAGCGCAUCAGGUGGAUAUCAGGAGACCAAGUUCUGGGCCUGGGCCUGAUACCAGAUCCACGCCCCUUGAUGGCUCUGUCUGUAAUAGGGUCAGGGCCUGGCUCUACGUCCCCUCCCAGGGCCUCCUGGGUAAUAAUGGCAGUCGGGUGCCCCCUGACUACCCUGCGAACCCAGCCAGUGCUCUCACUCCCAGGCGGGCUGCACCAGCCAAUCAGCGCUGAGCGUCUAAGAUUCCGGCUGAACUGUACCCGCGAGUCACGAUCCCGCCCCCACCUCCUGCCCCGACCUUGCUGCAGAGCCUCGCCUUCCCGACAUCCCUCGCGUCUCCCCUCCUCCAGCGUUUCCGCUCAGUCCACUCCCCACCGCCAGGGGAGGGCGCUGCUACGGGAUACCCUCUCAUCCCCUCUGUUUUCUACCGACAACCUCAAGCUCUGGCCCUGGCCUCUCUCCAAGCCCCUUCCUUCCUCAUCGAGGGCCUCGGUGAGCCCAGAACACACCAGCCUCUUGCCGGGGGAGGCACUGCGUGGUUGUCUCUUUGUCCCCAGUGCCCUUUCACCCCUGCCCUCUGCCUGGCGAGCUCAUGCGUGUCCUUCAGGACCCAGCUUGGACACCUGCUCCUCCAGGAGCCAUCUCUGCUGCUUUCCCAAGACACUGAGUGAGGCUCUGCUCACCUGCUGUCGCCCGAGAAUCUCAGUCCUAUAAUGGCAGGGACCAGGCCUUUUCACCAGUUCCCUGGCACCAGUGCUUGUCUCUGUCCUUGGUCCAAUGUUUGGUACCUAAAAGUACCUUAUUGGUGGAAUGAAUAUGAGCCAAUUAUCUCAGGUGAAUUUAAAACUGGUUUUAACAUCUGUCAUUGAUUAAAAUAGCAACUGGGAGAA